UAAGGAAGCCGGGGCCUUCAAGAAAAGGAGGAAAACACACAAAAGCUGAACAAAGAACUACACUUGUCCACAGCCCGUCUUCCAGGGCCAGCCCAGCGCUGGAGCAGUGUGCACUUUCUUCCUGCCUUCUCUGCGGCUCCCCACAUUACUGAUGAGCCUCCUCGAGCUAAUGGAAUAAUGAAAACACAAAACAGAUUUACCAUGCUUAAUAAGAGGAGGAGAUAAUGAAGGCAAAUUAAAAUGGAAGCUCAGAUCUGCAUGGAGAACGUGGCUUUGGUGCUGUGCAUGUGGUGAGCUGAAGACCUAUCAAUCAUCUUGACAUCCCAAAGAGAUAUCCGAACUCAGGGGGAAGUAGGGGCACAGAAUGGAGUCGUGCACUUACAGCAAGCCCUGCCUGAAGCCCAGAUCACCCUCUUUACCUUGUCAUUAUAAAAUGUGAU